rnacentral:rRNA from 1 species
CAGGAUGAACGCUAGCUACAGGCUUAACACAUGCAAGUCGAGGGCAGCAGGUUGUGCUGCAACAACCGCUGGCGACCGGCGCACGGGUGAGUAACGCGUAUCCAACCUGGCCCACAGUAGGGAACAGCCCGGCGAAAGUCGGAUUAAUGCCCUAUGUUUUCCUUUGAGAGCAUUUGACGAGGAACAAAGAUUUAUCGCUAUGGGAUGGGGAUGCGUCCGAUUAGCUUGCCGGCGGGGUAACGGCCCACCGGGGCAACGAUCGGUAGGGGUUCUGAGAGGAAGGUCCCCCACACUGGUACUGAGACACGGACCAGACUCCUACGGGAGGCAGCAGUGAGGAAUAUUGGUCAAUGGGCGUGAGCCUGAACCAGCCAAAAGUAGCGUGAGGGAUGACGGCCCUACGGGUUGUAAACCUCUUUUGCCGGGGGAUAAAGUGCGCCACUUGUGGUGUUUUGCAUGUACCCGGAGAAUAAGGACCGGCUAAUUCCGUGCCAGCCGCCGC